rnacentral:rRNA from 1 species
AAUGAACGCUGGCGGCAUGCCUUACACAUGCAAGUCGAACGGCAGCAUGACCUAGCUUGCUAGGUUGAUGGCGAGUGGCGAACGGGUGAGUAAUGCAUCGGAACGUGCCUUUUAGUGGGGGAUAACGUAGCGAAAGUUACGCUAAUACCGCAUAUUCUCCGAGGAGGAAAGCAGGGGACCUUCGGGCCUUGCGCUAGAAGAGCGGCCGAUGUCGGAUUAGCUAGUUGGUGAGGUAAAGGCUCACCAAGGCAACGAUCCGUAGCGGGUCUGAGAGGAUGAUCCGCCACACUGGGACUGAGACACGGCCCAGACUCCUACGGGAGGCAGCAGUGGGGAAUUUUGGACAAUGGGCGAAAGCCUGAUCCAGCCAUGCCGCGUGAGUGAAGAAGGCCUUCGGGUUGUAAAGCUCUUUCGGCCGGGACGAAAUCGCAUUCUCUAAUACAGGAUGUGGAUGACGGUACCGGAAUAAGAAGCACCGGCUAACUACGUG